CAUGAAAGAAUAACCAUUCUUUGGUGCUUAAUGCAGAGUGCUUUGUUCCCUGUCUUAUCUCAUCCUGGGCUUGUUGUUUUAAGGUCUCUAUUUCUAUGGCGAAGUUUUGAGCUGGGAGCCCUUGGAUAGGCUACAUGUGUGCAGAUAUUUUUGUGCUUGUUUUCUGUUUACUCUUUUUCUAUGCUUUUUAACUUACUUUCUGCCAUCCAGGGAGCCUUUCUGUUCUGUCGUGGGUGAAAAAUACAAAAUACAAUUCCCAAGUGGAUUCUGUUCUUUGGGUUGAACUUUGACCAGCGUGUGCAAUUUUCUGGGGAGGGGGUCCACAGCUUUCAUUGGUUCUUGGAAGAAUCCAGAACCUAGCAACAUUAAGAACCACUGUACAGAGGGGAGGGGAUAGUAGUAGAAAAAAUGUUUCAAGAAAUUAUUAGAUUUCUCUUUUGCAUUUCUACUCUUCCUUUGUGGUUCUCCAUUUUUCUCUGUAGAGACCCUGAGGUCAGUUAAGGAGCGAUUUAUGACUUGGUGAAAGAGCAGAAGGAGGAGAAGUUUCCACUGUUUUAUUCUUUUUGUUUGGGAGCAAAUACCUGGAGCAAGAAGAUGUGAGAAGAGUGAUCACUGCUUGGGAAGAUAACAAAAAUUAUAAGAAGGGAGAAGGCGGAACUACUAUACUACCAUUGCUUACCUGGAAAGAUCAGAACAGACCUCACAGCAGAGUAAAGAGAGUGGAUGUUCAAAUAAUUGUGGAAUGAAAGAAGGGAUUGAUAUCAUCGUGGCUGAGGAAUGAAAGAAGGAUGACUUGCCUCUCUGGUUAGGAAGCCAGAAGUAACAUUGGUUAACAGGGGGAGAGCGACGCUGAACAAAUCACGAACCAACUUGUCCGAAUAACUAAGUUCUGGCCGACGGGAUAUGAACAGAACUGACUUUUACCGUUUCUGGAGCGUGUCCUGAAGAGAAGUCUUUCCUCUGGCCCUUUCCUAUUUCCUGCUGGAAGAUGAUGAGAACUGAAAUGGCAGCCUUGGACCUCAAGAUGGAAGCUGCAUUUUGAGGAUGACAGAAUCUCCUUAUAGCUUUGAACUAAUGUGACAGAGAAAAUGAACUCCCACCUUGUUUCAGCUGUUGUUUCUUUGGAUCUCUUUGUUAUUGCAGCUGAAAGAAUGCGGGGAACUCUGAAAGAGGAAAGGUCUCGAUGUGAGUCUAAUAAGCACUAACAAUUAAGGGAUGUGUGUGGCAGAGUCCUCAUACGUGAAAUUGAUGAAGAGACUUUGCAGCUGAGGAUUAUCCUGGCUACACCAAGAUGUAACAAAGAAACGAAGGAACAAAGCCCAUGAACCCAGGAGACCUGGAAGUUACUCAGACAUAAGGACAGCAGAAGACACCAUUUCUAUCUUCUGAGGCUGUUAGCUGUACAAACAUUCCUGAAAGAAGAAAAGGCUGUCAGCACCUCUAUGCAGAAGAUGUGCAGAAAUGAGAAAGACCCAGGCAGUGUUGUCUCCCGGCACUAAAACCCAUAUCACCAGUUGUGUGCUGUUCCUUGAAUUCCUGUAACAACCUGUAUGUUCUAUGAUCACAGCACUUCUUGAAUUGCUCUAAGCCUUGCUUGUCUGGAGAGGCCGUGUCCUUACUAACAUAUUUACCAUAUCCAGCUGGGUACCAGGUACAGAGUAGACAUUUGGCAAAGUUUAUGAGAUAUAGGCUUUAAAGAUUUUUUACUAUCCUUUAAAUAUUUUCUGGAUUGGUUUUCAAGUUUAUUGCCCCAACUACCCUGGGAGGAGGGACAGAAGGUCUCAAAUGGCUUUAAUCACUGGGGGGAAGUUUUCCUUUAAUAGGAAAGUGCUAGCAGCUGCAGCAGAUAGCUUAGCAAUCAAUGGCUGUGAAGAUAGAGCAGGGCCAGAGCAACUGGAGUGCUAGUGGCCAAGCAACAAGAGUGUUGAGAUGGUGGUGGCAGUCAACCACAUGUCAGGGACAGAGCCACAAUCCCCAACAGCAGAUGUGUAAGACUUUAGGCCAUGCAGCAUCUGGAUAGGAUUUUAAAAGAUGUUUAGGAGGUUUCUGGUCACAAAAAUGGAAAGGAGAAAUAGAAUAGCAUGUGAGAGACAGAAAUGUAUGUUUGGGGAGCACCCAAGUAAUUAUAUAUACUUUCAAUUUAUAAUAACUUAAUUGUAUAUACAUAUUUUAAGUAAAUUUAUAUAUAUAAAGAGAUGAAGAGUUGGGGGAGAUUCGACCAGACUACUGCCCAUCAGGUCAAGAAUCCAGUGAAGGGUCAUCUUGUGUUCCCCCAGUGACCCCAGAGUGAUCCCAUGUUUGAUCUGGACUCUCACUUAUUUCUCCCCCCACCCCCAAUAAACACAGAUCUAAGAGAACACUGGCUCAUUGGUGAUGGAUUGAAAGCUGAGCUAUUUUGCCAGGUGGUUUUCAAAAGUAAACACUCUGCAGAUUUCAAGAAACUUUUUUCUCUUUGUAAAUGCUUCUUGAGGUAAAUAGUUUCCAGAAAUGGAGGUGGGGGAAUGGCAUUGAUCAGAGAGGUGGGAGUUGUUUUUCCUUUCAGGAGUUCUGGAGUGGUUAUCAUCUAUUUGGCUUUUGUCCCAUAUCUUGCCUUGAAUGGCCAUUGCCUUAUCGACUCUUUGCUGGUAUCAUUUGCGUACAUUUUCAGGUGCCUCAUUAAACAUUUCUGGGCGGCUGACAUCCUUUGUCAAUACACACUUUUAUUAUUGAGUACCCACAGAUAAUUUGGUAAUGUGUUAGGGGCUUGGGUUUAGUACUGGAAAUGCUCCCAUGAUCUCCUUAUCCAAUCAAAGGAGAAUAAGUGCAAGAAUCAUGAGUAUGCGCUGGGAACGAGAGUUGGUUUAUACGAUUCUUUGUGUUGAUUCUGGAAUAAUCAGUUGAUUUAAGCAGACAGUAUGGGUCUUCAUUGCCUGGAACUCAGUGCACUAGAAAAGAAACAGCAUAGUGAGUGAGUGAGAGAGAGAGAGAGAGAGAGAGAGAGAGAGAGAGAGAGAGAGAGUGUGUGUGUGUGUAUUAGUCUGUCGGUUUGUGUUUUACCAAUAGAGUACACUUAAUAGAACUUCACUGUACUCGUAUGUUCUUAUUUUCAUUACCAAACAUCCUUCCAUUUUUGUUUUGUUCUCUUUAUCUCAACUUAAAUUAAGAGAAAGCAAGAGAGUUUGAGAUAAUGUUCAGUUAAUGUCUACAUCUUGAAACAUAUUUCACUUUUCUCUGGUUGUCUAAUGAUUAGGUUACAGUAAUUACAUUCAGGCGUUUUUGAGCCAGAGAUAGAAGUGAGCUGUGUGUUUAGUUGCAGGCUGUCUGUAUUACUUUGCAGUCUUCUUCAAUAUAUUCUGACUGCAGUCACUUUCGUCUAAUGGUAAGUCACAGAAAACCAAUAACAUCCUCAAGAAAAGGGUUAAUGACAUUUCCUUCUCCUCUGGGGCCCUUAAGAUUUUGCUGAAUCUCUUUCCAGGACUGGUUAAAUCCUAUUAAUGUCAAAGUAAAAGCAGAAUAUGCUGCACCCGUCGGCACUCACCCUGUCUCUGGUCAUGGGUGAUGGCAAGUACCGUAUUUCCUUCUAGAACUCAUCUGAGCAGCCUUUGAAAUCUAGUCCCAUCAAAUCCUGGAUUUAACCAAAGGAGGGAUGUCCCUGUCAACGCUGCCCAGUGAAUAAUCAAAUCCAACCUGCAAUUGUUCAGGUUGCCAAACAUUUCUGUGGUUGAGUCAUGGGGAGAUUUCCCCCCUUUGAAUUAAAAUGGGGAGUAGGGGUGGGCAAAUAAAGCCAGACAGAGAGACAGAGACAGAGAGAGUGAGUGAGUGCAGGAAUUCUUUACAAGUACAAAUUUUAUAGGUAAGAUACCUCCCUCCGUUCCUGCCAAGAAAACAAAAGGGCAAUACCUGGACAAAG